UCUGACUUUAAACUCAGAAUUCUGACUUUAAUCUCAGAAUUCUGACUUUAAUCUCAGAAUUCUGACUUUAAAGUCAGAAUAGUGCGCUACAGUCGCAUGUGAGCCACAUUCUUCAGCACUGCAGAGUCCAAGGAGCUGCCGGAGUGAAACCAACAAAAUUGACGUCUGUAAGUGUCUUUUUGCACGCUCAGGGUUGACCAGAGGAGGUCAUUUUGCUAAUGGAAGAACAGAGGAUUGACUGUGAUGUCAUUGCUGUGGAGGAUCCAGAUAUGACACUUCACAUCCCUGACUGUGGAGUCUGCAACAUGUCAUUGCAGAAAGAAGUCCUUUUUCUGACAUUUCUUCCCAUCAGAUGCUAAACUCUACAUUAGACACUGGACACUUGUUCUUGUUAUUCUUUUUAAGCACAUUUAUUUAUUUAUCUGUCAUUUUUUAAUGGAGCUAUGGUAACAAAGUAAUUUAACUGUUUUGUCGUUUUUUCUUAUUUAUAUGUGCGAUAGUACAUAUCUGAGAAUACCUGCAGAUAACUGACAUACCUUUUCCUUUUAAUUUAAAUUUAUUUCUGAUUCAUCUUCUGAACCCAUUUUGUCUCUUUGGGGUCACGGGGCUGCUGGAGCCUAUCCCGGCCUCUUAUUUCUUCUGUGAAAUUUAAAGAAAUAUGUAUAACUAAACACAUUUUUUCUCAUUAUUUUAUUAUUUACUUUUAAUUUUCAGUAUUUCCAUAACAGAUGCAUCAAAUAAUAUUAACCUAAGAUCAAAAGUAUUAAAUCAACUAAAUUUCCAUCAUAUGAUUUAUUUGUUUCCUUUUGAAAUAUUUAGUCACUUGCAUUACAUGUUAGUUCUGACCUUGUAAAUAAUGUUGGCAACUCCUGUUUAACUCACACAUGUGGUAAAAAAGGUGUUAUGGUUCCAAUAAAUUCAUACAAAACAUUUCAGAAGAAAGACCUUUACUCGUACAUUUUUAUAGAAACAUUACAGUUUAUAAUUUAUAACAUAGCAACCGUUUAUCAUUGUUAAGUUAUGCAUAUUAUAAUAGGGAAGGGAUUAAAUAAAUUUGCUUCUUCUCUUCCCAUUUCAAGCAUUAACUGUUUAAUUUGUAUUGUGAAAAGUAAAUUACAAGGAUGUGUACUCAGAUUGUGACUUAUUUUUGUUUCUUUAUAUAUGUGCUGUUCCUGUGUUGAAGGAAGUAUGUUCCAAUUGACCAUGAUUGAAACAAUAAACUCAAAUUAAUGUU